rnacentral:sRNA from 1 species
GCUGGGCAUGGUGACGCUUGCCUGUAAUCCCAGCUACUCGGGAGGCUGAAGCAGGAGGAUCACUUUGAGCCUAGGAAUUGGAAAUUAGCUUAGGUAACAUAGUGAGACUCUGUCUCAA